rnacentral:rRNA from 1 species
UUACCCGCUGAACUUAAGCAUAUCAAUAAGCGGAGGAAAAGAAACUAACAAGGAUUCCCCUAGUAACGGCGAGUGAAGAGGGAAAAGCUCAAAUUUUGAAUCUGGUGUCUUUGACUCCCGAGUUGUAAUCUAGAGAAGUGUUUUCCGUGUCGGACCGUGCACAAGUUCCCUGGAACGGGGCGUCAUAGAGGGUGAGAAUCCCGUAUAUGGCAUGGACUGCCGAUGCUCUGUGAUACACUCUCAACGAGUCGAGUUGUUUGGGAAUGCAGCUCAAAAUGGGUGGUAAAUUCCAUCUAAAGCUAAAUAUUGGCGAGAGACCGAUAGCGAACAAGUACCGUGAGGGAAAGAUGAAAAGCACUUUGGAAAGAGAGUGAAACAGUACGUGAAAUUGUUGAAAGGGAAAACGCUUGA